rnacentral:misc_RNA from 1 species
AAUUCUCAAACCUCUUACUAGUUUAUUCUAGUCUUUGAGGCUUUGGAUAUGGGAGUCUUUGCUGGAACCUAUUCAUUUAGGGUUCAGCUCUCCUUAAAUGCAUUAGCGGUUAACUUGAUCCCCUUUCAUUGGUGUGAUAAUUAUCUACGCCUUUCGAAAUGAUCAGCAGAAUGUUAAUAGCUUCUAAUCAGUCCCUAGUCGGACAACUUUUAUGACC